rnacentral:rRNA from 1 species
AUGAACGCUGGCGGCGUGGAUAAGGCAUGCAAGUCAAACGGCCCGCAAGGGCAGUGGCGAACGAGGUAGUAACACGUGGGUACAUCCCUUUUAGUCAGGAAUAACCAGUCGAAAGAUUGGAUAAUACUUGAUAGUCUCUUCGGAGUAAAGAUUUAUCGCUAAAAGAAUGGCCUGCGGAGUAUCAGCUAGUUGGUAGUGUAAUGGACUACCAAGGCUAUGACGCUUAGGGGAGCUGAGAGGCUGACCCCCACCGAUGGUACUGAGACACGGACCAUACACCUACGGGUGGCCGCAGUCGAGAAUCUUCCACAAUGGACGAAAGUCUGAUGGAGCGACGCCGCGUGAUGGAUGAAGUCCCUAGGGACGUAAACAUCUUUUAUGAGGGAGAAAGUUUAUUGAUAGUACCUCACGAAUAAGGGGUUGCUAAACUCGU